AAAAAAUUCACAAAUAUGCAAAAAGCAAAAGUUGAAUUUGCCACAGGCCAAGUACUAUGUUGAAUCUGGAAAAGUGGAAUGAUGUGAUGUUGUCAACACCAAUGUCUCUAAGGAGCAGAACACCGACACGGGAUCUCUGCGGACCUAGGGCAGCGUGGGUCUGCUCUGGAGUCUGGCCUUGGGGAAUACGGCUCCGUGGAGGGAAGGAGUCAAGCAUUUAUCCCGACACCCCUGUGGAUUGUAAAUCAGAGUGAACAAACUGUUGAUGGGAGAAGUUCUUCUUUAUAUAAUGAAAGAGUCAAAAAGUUAAUUAGAAAUCACCAUGUUGCCUGCCAAUACUACUGAAAUAACAGGUGCAGGUGAUGAUAAAGACUGGCCUCCAAAGCCAGGAGGUGCCCAGGUGGUGGGGAACUUUCUGCUUGUUGGGUUGACAACACCAGAACCACUAAUCAAUCGUGACAUAUCUGAGAGUCAAACAAACAAGGAGUCCCUUCCCCAGGAGAUGCAGCAGAAAAUACACAGCCUCAUCCCUGGAGCACUUUUGUCCCCAACCAAACUGUACUUGAACAUUGUAUCAACAAAGCCCUGGGUCUUAUUACCAUUGCUUUACAGGAAACAUGGAGCAUAUUAAACAAUCAGCAAGAAUUUAAUCAACCAAAUCCAAAUGGGGGAAAUUCUACAGGAAAAUUAUCAGAUGUCUUUAAUGAAUAAAUGGCAGGAAUAAAAAGGAGAGGAAAGGAAAGUGGUUAAAGACUAAAGGAGUCUUUAGACUUAUUAAUCAAAUGCAUUUUCU